rnacentral:rRNA from 1 species
CGGGCUCAACCUGGGAACUGCAUUCGAAACUGGCAGGCUUGAGUCUUGUAGAGGGGGGUAGAAUUCCAGGUGUAGCGGUGAAAUGCGUAGAGAUCUGGAGGAAUACCGGUGGCGAAGGCGGCCCCCUGGACAAAGACUGACGCUCAGGUGCGAAAGCGUGGGGAGCAAACAGGAUUAGAUACCCUGGUAGUCCACGCCGUAAACGAUGUCUACUUGGAGGUUGUGCCCUUGAGGCGUGGCUUCCGGAGCUAACGCGUUAAGUAGACCGCCUGGGGAGUACGGCCGCAAGGUUAAAACUCAAAUGAAUUGACGGGGGCCCGCACAAGCGGUGGAGCAUGUGGUUUAAUUCGAUGCAACGCGAAGAACCUUAC